rnacentral:rRNA from 1 species
AAGCAUCUAAGCAUGAAGCCCCCCUCAAGAUGAGAUUUCCCAACUUCGGUUAUAAGAUCCCUCAAAGAUGAUGAGGUUAAUAGGUUCGAGGUGGAAGCAUGGUGACAUGUGGAGCUGACGAAUACUAAUCGAUCGAAGACUUAAUCAA